rnacentral:rRNA from 1 species
GACGAACGCUGGCGGCGUGCUUAACACAUGCAAGUCGAACGGAAAGGCCCUGCUUUUGUGGGGUGCUCGAGUGGCGAACGGGUGAGUAACACGUGAGUAACCUGCCCUUGACUUUGGGAUAACUUCAGGAAACUGGGGCUAAUACCGGAUAGGAGCUCCUGCUGCAUGGUGGGGGUUGGAAAGUUUCGGCGGUUGGGGAUGGACUCGCGGCUUAUCAGCUUGUUGGUGGGGUAGUGGCUUACCAAGGCUUUGACGGGUAGCCGGCCUAAGAGGGUGACCGGGGGCAGGGGGGAGAAGAUAGCGCGGAGGCUGGAGAGGGAGGGCGGGGGGGGGAGGGGUGGGCGAUGGGCAGGAGGGUGGUACACCGACGCCGCGUGGGGGAAGACGGGAGGCGGGUUGGAAGCAAAAGUCGACUGGGACAACGCGUGAGUGGAGGGAAUGGGGAAAGAAGGACGGGAUAACUAAGGG